AAAUGAAGCCCCCCAACCGCAUGGUGUUCCCCACCCACGAUUAAUAUUUGAUAUCACAGGAAGUCCAGGCCUUAGUCUCCAAGGGUGCAAUUUCUGCAAUCCACCCUCUCACUCCAGGUUUCCUAAGCAACCUCUUCCUGGUCCCCAAAAAAGGCGAAGGUGUUCGUCCAGUCAUCAAUUUACUACCUUUAAACAUGUUUGUCACAUACCACCACUUCAAGAUCGAAGGUAUACACUCCCUCCGAGACCUCCUGCUUACAGGGGACUGGAUGGUCAAGCUCGACUUGAAGGGCGCGUACCUCACGGUUCCAAUGGCUGAAGACUGCCUAAAAUUCCUUCAAUUCCAAUGGGAGGAGACCGUGUGGCGAUUCAAAUGCCUGUCGUUAGGCCUCUCAUCAGCACCCUGGUGCUUCACAAAGCUCAUGAAACCAGUGGUCACCCUCCUACGCAGCAGAGGAGUUAGACUCAUAAUAUGCUUGGACGAUAUCCUCAUAAUGGGUGGUUACAACACAUGGAAUCCUGGAACGCGGCUAGGGUGCGCGCUGCGGAUCUACCUCCACCGGAGGAAAAUGGUCCCUAGAGGAACAGGGACUUCAUAUCAACUGCCUCGAACUGCUGACAGGAUCGUUUGCCCUACGGAGUCUUUUAAGUAUAUCGACCAAUUGCUCAAUUCUGUUACACAUGGACAUUAUAUCAGCGGUCUGCUAUAUCAACCACCUCGGGGGCACAAAGUCAACAAUACUUGCAGAACUAGCGAAGGAUUUCAAACAGGGAAACACCCAUUGGUAUGUCAACUCCUACGUGGCAUCAAGUUUGCACGACCUAGAUAUUCAGAUUUGUGGGAUGUUAGUCUCGUUCUCCGACUUUUUGAAAAUUGGUCAAAGAAUGAGGACCUCUCGAUCAAGCAGCUCACCGCUAAACUGGUUAUGCUGUUUUGUCUCAUCUCCUGUAAACGUGUCUCAGAUGUUCGAGCACUGGACCUCACGGCACACUCAUUUACACCAGUAGGCGUGUCCUUCGAUAUAUCGAGACGUACGAAGACAUCCAUUACAGCGGUUUUCUACCCGGCUUUUCCACAUAACGUUAGCCUGUGCCCAGUAGCCUGUCUCAAGGAAUAUGAAGCAAGGACGGCUGCGGUUUGGAUCCCCAGUAUCCAGAUCUGUUUCUGGCAAUUCAACAACCACACCAUCCGUUUUCUACAGUUACCAUAUCUCGCUGGGUCAAAUGGAUCAUGGCGUCGGCUGGCAUUGAUACCGCCACCUACGGAGCACACUCAGUGAGGGGUGCUAUGGCAUCAAAAACCUUUUCUGUAGGGUGUAGGCUGGAAGAUCUCCUCCGUGCAGCUGACUGGUCCAGAGAAUCUACAUUCCGGGAAUUUUAUUUUCGUCCAGUUUCUAAUUUUUCCACGUCAGUGAUCUCGCAGCUUUGAACUAGCAUAAUAGGAGCCUCCGUGUCCUUUAAUAAAAUUACCAGAUUUUACUAAUCUCAUGACGUAAAGUCAUGAUUUUAUAGAGGACACGGAGGCGAGUAUUAUCCCUCCCAAUCAAGGUAAGUUCCACCCUCCCUGUGAAUAUACCAUCACGUAAUGGGGCACGAGCCGUGUGAUAAUGUGAUUGUUUCUUUCACUUGAUUAACUAUUAAUGGACUGACAUAUUGUUUGGUUAAUGUUGGAAAAUGAAUGUGGAAAUACUAUCCAAGAACUUAUUUUACCAUUUUGUUUCUCUGUCUUACAGCCUCCUAAUUGGGUUGUCAUACUGGUCCAUGUCUGUCCAGACAAGUUCAAACAGAAGAUUGCCAGUUUCUCCGGAGUUCCGGUACCAUAGUUUUCCUGGACUCACGUUUUUCUCUACACAUCUAUUGGUUACGUCAUUCUGUCUGUGGGAGUGUUCAUCGGCAACAUCAAGAAAGAGGAAUGGCUUAGGGUCACAUGGGACAUUAUUAUGCUAGGAACACUCUCGUUGGUUUAUAUGUUAUAUAUGGUUAACCCUUUGGGGGUAAAUGAUGUUUUGUUAUUGAAUUUUUUUUUCCGUUGAAUAUAUGCAAUAUCCUUUCUUUUGCUGCUGAG
rnacentral:lncRNA from 1 species